GGUGAGAGUGUAGCCAUGAUAAAUGAUAGGUUCCGAGUUAGGGCCAUCCCAGCAGUCCAGCUCCACACAGCGACAACCUUUGGUGAGGGCUCUGGAAACAAAGAAGGGACCUGGUUGGGUUUUAAACCUCCUGCUCAGGAUCAGGCACAGAUCUGAACUGGACACACAGCAUGCGCUCCAGACCACACAGAAGAGGUUGCUGUGCAUUUCGUUUCACCCUUGAAAUGAACAACUUGCUACCAGAUACCAGGAUGUAGCUGAAAUACAGCAACUCGUCAAACCAGAGCAAUUUAAUUGCUUUUUAUCUUUGAUCUCUUAUAGAGAUAGAGCUAUUGACCCGGGUUUUAUGAGCAAAAUGCACAUCUCAGUCUAGCUAGUCACCACGCUAAUCUCAGCCUAACCCUUCCAAUGAUCCCAGCGAUGGCCAUAGUGGCUUUGGCAGUUGUCCAAGCAAGAUGAUAAUAACAGACUGUUUGUCCUCAUGCAGUACCUCCUCCAGAGUCUUUCACUACCAGUUUAUGGCACACAUAUAAAACGAGACACAAUGAUCAUGACAUGUUGCGUUUCACAAACUGAAUCAAGAGGAAAAAGUUCAACUUGUUCUGAUUUCAGAAUCCGUUGGUUAAAAGCUAUGGGCUCAUCUCAGGAAUUGAACAAUCUAUGAAAUGUUCAAUACUACAGACACUUUGAAAAUGAGUUUGAGCUGUUCUGGAACCAUCUUUUCCUUGCUGCCUUCCAUGUCUGUACGAUCCUGCACUGUGGCUUUGGCAGAUCUCAAGCUAAGUUGAGCAUGAUAUUUAGCAGCUGAAAAAAGGUGUAUAAGGAAGGAAACUAAUGAAGACUGCAGGGAUGCAAUAAAUGAUAGAUGUUCUUUAAGACACAACGUAGAAAAUGAUGAUGUGACUCCUAGGAAGUCAUUAUAGCUAAUGCACCUCAGUAAGUUUGUUCAUUAGUUGCCAGUAAAGGCUGUAAUGAACAAAGUACAAGAGCACUGGCAUCACAGUCAUAUUCUAGGAUGGAUCAGAUACACAGCGUAAAACUGGGCUCCUUCUGCUUGGGCUACAAGAGCUCCAAAUCAGAUUUUCAAUUCAAAAAGCUGUGAUCCAGCUCAUUUGUAUGGAUCAUGAAAAAUGAUUCCUGAAUGAACUUUAGUUUGCCACCAAGAGUCAGAAGCUUUCAGAUGCAUUGGAAUGAAGUGAGCAAUUACAGGAGCUCUGCACAGUUUCUGGCUGCAUAACAUAUGUCUCACUUAGAUGUGUCUAAAAUCUAGAUGUCGACACAGAGUCAUGUGGCAAAAAGCAAGAAUAAUGUAAGAACAUGCCCUUAGCUCUCCCUUAAAUCUCUUGGUUGCCCUUCCUUCCCAUGACUAAAUGAAGCAAAACUCACUAAGACAGAAAAGAUCACCGUUUUAAUAUGCUGUAACAUCUUAUGGUCCAUCUAAAUUUAAGGGAUAUGUAAAAUGAAAACAUAAUUGCUUAAGGAUUCGGUGAUCAAAUAGAGUGAGACAGACUCUCCUUAAAGGCAAUUCACCACACAAGAGAUCUGAAUUAACCUUUUGGAGGUUAAUUUAGAGGGUUAAUUAACAUCUCCUCUUUCCCCUGGCUAUACAGGAAGCUUAGAACAAUUACAGGUCUAAUAAGUGUACUUCUGACUAGCUGCCCACGUUUAGAUAGGAUGAAUGAGGGCUUAGUUAUUGCUUGGAGUCCUCAAGCAAAAAGAGGAUUGAACUUUGGUAAAUUUCCAAUGGUGCUGCUCCCUUCUAAAUGCUGCCACGUCUGAUUCAGACCUUUGAUGUCUGAAGAUGUGUAUGAGGUGUCACCUUUAGGAUGAGGUGAAUUACACCCUGGUCUACAAAAUUGGAUUGAUGAACACCAAUUGCAAAGGGAAUAUUAAGUGCUGGUGACUACUUCCAGUGUAGGUGCCUGCAGCGGGAGAUAUCUAAAUUAACAAGAGAAAUUCCAGAUUUUUUGCUAUUCUUCCAUGGUCCUCCCAAGUAGAGAACAAACCAUAGAAUAUGCCAGCCACGUUAGGCUGUAUAUCUUGGCGAUUUUGCAAGUUGAAAUUCUUCAAGAUCUGCUGAGAACCUUCUUCCAUUUCAUAGAAUGGCUUAGGUUGGAAGAUCAGCAAGCUCGAACUCCCUGUCAUGGGCAAGGUUGCCAGCCACUAGAUCAGGCUGCCCAGGGCCCCAUCCAACCUGGGAUCCUGCAGAGUUACCAAAGAGACAGACAGCUCCAUAAACCAAGGAUUAGGAAACUUGUUCCUCCUUUGGGGAAAGGUCCUAGUGAGACCUUGCCAACCUCUGGUGCUGCUUACAGGAAGGAGUGUAAGGAGGAACACAGCCUGUACCUGCAACCACCCACAUGUUUACCACUAAUCAGAAAAAAACAUUUCUGAAACUGUCCACCAUUAAUUCAAAUCCUGCUUCAGAUAAGACGGAAGUUUGGAAUUUAUCCAGGUGUUUUUUUUCUCAUCUCGGGAGGAAGGCUUGUUUAGAGACACUAAGAACAGCAGAGAAAUUUUCAUCCCUAUCUUCUGAUAGGCUGAGCCAGGAAGCUGGAUCUAGAGAAAUGAGAACUGCACAUCCAAGUGGAUUGAACACGUCUUGGCCUAUCAGAGCAACCACACUGGUUCAGCUUUCCGCAAGCAGGUGUGAAUCCAACUGCAGGAUGAUGUAAGGAAACCUCUCCAGGUCAGCGAGGUCUAAAUACCACCCCUCUACACAGCACAUGGGUAGGCAGACAUAAAUCUCUUGUAAAGAUUCUGAACCACUUCUCCCUGCUGCUGUAAAUCAGCAUGCUCCCACUGAACAGCUUGCAUCAUCUCACCUUCUGCUCUGAAAGGGCAAAGCGAUGCUUUGGCAGAAGCAAAAUGCUCUGUAGUACAAGCAAUCAUGGCCCAGGAAAAGCUUGUCACCAUCUGGCCAAGGCCAGAUCAGUUCUAUUUAACCCGCAGGAGUUUCUGGACACAGCCAUAUCACAAAACAGUCUGAUUUCUCUUUUGUGGCAGAAAGUGCAUCCUCCAGAUGGGAGAAAGGAGAAUGAAAAGAUCUCCCAAGUAUGGGCAACUGAUCAUUAAGAAUUUGAUAGUGCAUCACGCUGAACACUUAACAGGGAUUCUCUGAAAUAAACAUGAAUAGUCCUCUAUAUUUAUUCAGGUAUUCAUUUUCUACCUAAAUGUCUGAAGAAAUGUGUUGUGAAUAAAACCAAUCCGAUCCUUACAGGUCUUGGCUUUCCCUUGUAAAACACAGUGUCUAUUUCUGAAUUGUACUGUGGCUGUGAUAAUAGUUCCUAAGAGCUCCGUAUUUAUUCACUGCAGUAUAUCCACGGAUCUGGAGCAAUUACUAUAAAAAUCAGCUUUACACCAGUUAAUUUGAACUGGGUCUGCCACAGUCUUUUAAGUCCCCUGGGAAAAUGUCAGGUGGUUGAGAUAACUUGGAGUUUUAAACAAGCAAACAAACAAAAAAACAAAUUAAAAAAUGAUAACUUUUUGCAUCAAGCCAACUGUACCUCUCUAAUUUGCUCUAACUAUCAAAUAACAAAGGCCAUCCAGAGAAAUAUCCCAUUUUUCCAUAUAAAAAUUACUGAAAUAACAGAUUGCCAUAAGCGCAACCUUUCAUGACUUGCAUAGGAAGCACUGCUCCAAACUCAAUCCAGAAAAGAUAUAAAUAUGGAUUUUAGCAAAAUAAACCUCAGAAGUAGCAAACACCAGUGAGGGCACACAGUGCCAUAACAGUUGAUCUGAGUCUUUCAAAAUCACCUCCAAAACGAGGCGACGAGUGACAGCCUAUAGGGGCUGUAGACAUAACUCUGAAAGAGGGUACUCACCAACAGCUACCACUGCAUUCAAACAUUUCCAAACACUUGGAAAUAUGUGUAAAGUGUUUGGUAGUUCUGUCAGUCUCUUGGAAAGCUGCUUUUUGUCUUUAAAAAUCUUGGCAUGUGCUAAACAAUGACCUCACAUUGCAUCUCUUUUAGCCUGGUAAUAUUAAUAUUCCUCUUUUGUACACAUGGAAAUGAAAAUAGAGGUUACAUUUCCUCUAACUCCCAAUGAUAUUCCAGGGUGCUGAAUGAGGCUCUGGCUUGGAGCAGUUCCCCAGAAAACCAAGUUUGAAUCAUGAAGCUCCUACGUGAGCUCCUCCUGGGAUGUUCUGCUGAGAGCACAACACCAUCCACCCCACCAGCUUAGCAUAUGUCAACAUGGUGCCAACAGCAAGGUCAGCCAUUCCCACCCAACCCGUGUACUCCAGCUGCCCUUCACAGACUUCCUAAAAUAACAGAUAGCAGGAAUGCACAACUCUAAGGAGUCAAGAGGAAACUGAAAUUCUUCUUGUCUGAUACAAACACCAUUUUGCAGCCCUGGUUGUGGG